AAAGCUCUCUUCGGAGAGUGCAUAGAGUGGCGCACGGGUGAGUAACACGUAAGUAAUCUACCCUCGAGUGGGGAAUAACAUCGGGAAACCGAUGCUAAUACCGCAUAAUGCAGCGGCACCGCAAGGUGACAGUUGUUAAAGAUUUAUCGCUUGAGGAGGAGCUUGCGGCAGAUUAGCUAGUUGGUAAGGUAAUGGCUUACCAAGGCUACGAUCUGUAACCGGUCUAAGAGGACGGUCGGUCACACUGACACUGAAUAACGGGUCAGACUCCUACGGGAGGCAGCAGUCGGGAAUUUUGGGCAAUGGGCGAGAGCCUGACCCAGCAACGCCGCGUGAAGGAUGAAGUAUUUCGGUAUGUAAACUUCGAAAGAAUAGGAAGAAUAAAUGACGGUACUAUUUAUAAGGUCCGGCUAACUACGUGCCAGCAGCCGCGGUAAUACGUAGGGACCAAGCGUUGUUCGGAUUUACUGGGCGUAAAGGGCGCGUAGGCGGCGUGACAAGUCACUUGUGAAAUCUCUGAGCUUAACUCAGAACGGCCAAGUGAAACUGUUGUGCUAGAGUGCAGAAGGGGCAAUCGGAAUUCUUGGUGUAGCGGUGAAAUGCGUAGAUAUCAAGAGGAACACCUGAGGUGAAGACGGGUUGCUGGGCUGACACUGACGCUGAUGCGCGAAAGCCAGGGGAGCAAACGGGAUUAGAUACCCCGGUAGUCCUGGCCCUAAACGAUGAAUAUUUGGUGUCUGGAGUUAUUAGUGCUCCGGGUGCCGUCGCUAACGUUUUUAGUAUUCCGCCUGGGGAGUACGCUCGCAAGAGUGAAACUC
rnacentral:rRNA from 1 species